GCCGAAUGGACUAGCCCCGAAAAUGGAUGGCGCUGAAGCGGGUGACUGAUACCCAAUCAUGGCUGCAAGCACAGUAGCUUUGAGUAGGAGGGCAUGGUGGUUGCAGCGCAGCCCACUCGUGAGCAAGGGUGAAGGAACUUCCAGUGCAGAUCUUGGUGGUAGUAGCGACUAGUCUGAUGAUGACCUCGGACGACUGAAGCACAGAAA
rnacentral:rRNA from 1 species